rnacentral:rRNA from 1 species
AUGCAAGCAUGUUCCUUAUUACUUGGUAGACCAUGGCAAUUUGAUAAAAAUUCUGUACACCAUGGUAGAAACAAUCACUAUACUCUUGUUCAUAAGGAUAAAAAUAUUACUUUGCUUCCUAUGACUCCUAAUUCCAUUUUGAAAGAUGAUAUUAAUAGAGCUAAUAAAGCAAAACAGGAGACGAAUAAGAGUGAAAAUCAGAUUGUGGCAAAAGAAUUUGAGCAACAAAUGAAGCCUAAUAAUAAACCAUCUAGUGUUGCUUCUGAAAUUAAAUUGAAAAGUGCAUGUUUAUUUGCCACCAAAUCUGAUAUUGAUGAGCUAGAUUUCAGCAAAUCUGUUUGCUAUGCUUUUGUGUGCAAGGAGGCAUUAUUUUCAUUCGAGGACGUGCCUUCCUCUUUGCCUCCUGGUGUCACUAACAUUUUGCAGGAGUUCGCUGAUGUCUUUCCACAAGACGUGCCACCGGGAUUACCGCCUAUUCGAGGGAUUGAGCAUCAGAUUGACUUAAUUCCCGGUGCUUCACUGCCAAACCGUGCACCAUACGGUACCAAUCUAGAGGAGACGAAGGAGAUUAUGCGUCAAGUACAAGGGCUUCUCGACAAAGGUUAUAUACGCGAAUCCCUUAGUCCUUGUGCUGUUCCUAUUAUUCUAGUGCCGAAAAAGGAUGGUACAUCACGUAUGUGUGUUGAUUGUAGAGGCAUUAAUAAUAUUACUAUUCGUUAUCGUCAUCCUAUUCCUAGGCUAGAUGAUAUGCUUGAUGAAUUGAGUGGCUCUACAAUAUUCUCCAAAGUUGAUUUGCGUAGUGGAUACCAUCAAAUUCGUAUGAAAUUGGGAGAUGAAUGGAAAACAACAUUCAAAACUAAGUUUGGAUUAUAUGAGUGGUUAGUCAUGCCUUUUGAGUUAACUAAUGCACCUAGUACUUUCAUGAGAUUAAUGAACGAAGUUUUACGUGCUUUCAUUGGAUGA